CACGUAGGUGGCGAGCGUUAUUCGGAUUCACUGGGCGUAAAGGGUCCGCAGGGGGCCUGCCAAGUCUGUCGUGAAAACCCGGGGCUCAACCCCGGGCCUGCGGUGGAGACUGGCGGGCUUGAGUUCGUGAUGGGCAGACGGAACACCUGGUGUAGCGGUGGAAUGCGUGGAUAUCAGGUGGAACACCGAUGGCGAAGGCGGUCUGCUGGCGCGACACUGACCCUCAUGGACGAAAGCGUGGGUAGCGAACAGGAUUAGAUACCCUGGUAGUCCACGCCGUAAACGUUGAGAACCAGAUGUGGUGGGGCUGGCCCCCUCCGCGUCCAAGUUAACGCGAUAAGUUCUCCGCCUGGGGACUACGGCCGCAAGGCUAAA
rnacentral:rRNA from 1 species